rnacentral:rRNA from 1 species
AAAUUGAAGAGUUUGAUCAUGGCUCAGAUUGAACGCUGGCGGCAGGCCUAACACAUGCAAGUCGAACGGUAGCACAGAGAGCUUGCUCUCGGGUGACGAGUGGCGGACGGGUGAGUAAUGUCUGGGAAACUGCCUGAUGGAGGGGGAUAACUACUGGAAACGGUGGCUAAUACCGCAUAACGUCGCAAGACCAAAGAGGGGGACCUUCGGGCCUCUUGCCAUCAGAUGUGCCCAGAUGGGAUUAGCUUGUUGGUGAGGUAACGGCUCACCAAGGCGACGAUCCCUAGCUGGUCUGAGAGGAUGACCAGCCACACUGGAACUGAGACACGGUCCAGACUCCUACGGGAGGCAGCAGUGGGGAAUAUUGCACAAUGGGCGCAAGCCUGAUGCAGCCAUGCCGCGUGUAUGAAGAAGGCCUUCGGGUUGUAAAGUACUUUCAGCGGGGAGGAAGGUGUUGUGGUUAAUAACCGCAGCAAUUGACGUUACCCGCAGAAGAAGCACCGGCUAACUCCGUGCCAGCAGCCGCGGUAAUACGGAGGGUGCAAGCGUUAAUCGGAAUUACUGGGCGUAAAGCGCACGCAGGCGGUC